UGGUUAGGCGCAGGCGGCCGUCGACCCCAGGAUUCCCGAAUGGGACUUCCUGCCCGUAUGGGCACUCCCGCGCAAGUGGGAGGGGGAACUCCCCGAACGGAAGCAUCUUAGUAGGGGAAGGAAGAGAAAUCAAGCGAGAUUCCCUGAGUAGGGGCGACCGAAAGGGGAAGAGCCCAGACCGAACCCGGCUGCGAUAAGUAGUCUGGGGAUGUGGGGUAGUGGCGCGCUGUCGGGGGAAACCUGGACGUCCUAACUCUCCUAGUCGAACUCCCCUGGGAUGGGGGGCCGAAGAGGGUGAAAGCCCCGUAGACGAAAGGAGAGUGGGCGUGACAGCGUACCGAGUACCAUCCUCUGGUUUGAGGGUGGGAAUCUAGGGGACACGUGCCUCUAAGGCUAAAUAUCUCCCGAGACCGAUAGCGAACUAAGUACCGUGAGGGAAAGCUGAAAAGUAGCCCGGGAGGGCGGUGAAAAGUGCCUGAAACCGUCUGGCGAUACAGGGCGAGGCUCGAAAGAGGUGAGGGCUCCGUAAGGAGGAGGGCGCGAGCCCUUAGUACGUGGGGGCCUGAUCAGGGUUUCGCCUUUCGUCUUGAAUCACGGGCCGGGGAGUUCACGUCAGUGGCGAGCUUAAGGGGUUCAACCCCGAAGGCGAAGGGAAACCGAAUGCCCGCAACUCGGCGACGAGUGAGGGGCAGGGUCUGUCAGGGCCUCAAGUCACUGGCGUGAGGCUAGAAACCGGGCGAUCUAGACCGGGGCAGGCCGAAACCAGGGGAAACCCUGGUGGAGGGCCGAAUAGGGGUUCUGACGUGCAAUUCGUUCCCCUGACCCUGGCCUAGGGGCAAAAGACCAAUCUAGCCCGGUGAUAGCUAGUUCCCUCCGAAAUGCGUCUUAGCGCAGCCUCCCCUGAGGUUACUCGUGGGGUAGAGUUACUUAUUGGGGCUUCGGAUCGAAAGGUCCGGACUCCCAGUAAAACUCCGAACCUGCGAGCGCCGUAGAAGGGGGGAGUGGGUCACUCGGCGUAAGGUUGGGUGGCAAGAGGGGAACAACCCAGACUUGGGUUAAGGCCCCAAAGUGCCGGCUAAGUGCGUACAAGGGCGUCCGUAGCCACAGACAGCGGGAAGGUGGGCCCAGCAGCAGCCAUCCUCUAAGGAGUGCGUAAUAGCUCACCCGCCGAGGCUACGGGCCCUGCAGACUGGUCGGGGCUCAAGCCGGCCGCCGAUACCCAAGGGUGGAGCUCCUUUGGAGCCCCAUCGGUAGGAGGGCGCUACGGCGGAGCAGAAGGUGGGCCGUGAGGUCCACUGGAUCCGUCGCAGGUGCAGAUCCCGGCGGCAGUAACAGCGAAAGGGGGUGAGAAUCCCCCUCGCCGGAAGGGCCAGGUUUUCCCGGCAACGGUCGUCGACCGGGAGUGAGCCGGUCCUAAGGCAACGCCCAAUUGGCAGUUGCCGAAAGGGAAAGGGGUUAAUAUUCCCCUGCCACGGAGGUAGGUGCGGCAACGCAAGCUGUGCUCCUGACGGAUGGGGGUAGGGAAACCGAGGUAACCGCCUCGGCCAAGUACUGAAGCCCCUGGAGUACCGUAAUGGUGAGAAGGGGGCGAAGGUGCGAUGGGCCUCCCGUAUGGGGGGUUCUCCCGAACCCCGGUCCCCAUGAAAAGGGAGUGCAGAUCGAUCCUCCGUGCCCGUACCAAGAACCGACACUGGUGCCCCUGGGUGAGAAGCCCAAGGCGUAUGGGGGCUAACCCUGGCUAGGGAACUCGGCAAAUUAGCCCCGUAACUUAGGGAUAAGGGGUGCCUACCGCGGCGCGAAACGUCGCAGUAGGUCGCAGUGACAAGGGGGACCUGACUGUUUAAUAAAAACAUAGGUUCCCGCUAGCCCGUAAGGGUGUGUACGGGAGCUGAAUCCUGGCCACUGGCGGUAAGUGAAAUCCGGGUCCAACCGGACGAAGCUCCGCUAAAGGCCGGGGGUAACUCUGACCCUCUCAAGGUAGCCAAAUGCCUUGCCGGGCAAGUUCCGGCGCGCAUGAAUGGAUCAACGCGGUCCCCACUGUCCCAGCCAGGGGCCCCGUGAACGCCCAGAGUGGGUGCACAGUCCCGCAACCCCCCACACCGAGAGAAGACCCCGUGGAGCUUAACUGCAGCCUGGCGCUGUCGUUCGGUCGCCUGUGCGUAGAGUAGGUAGGAGGCGUCGAAGCCGUCCUUUCGGGGACGGUGGAGCCGAAAGUGAAACACUACCCACGGGUGUUCGAGCGACUUACCUCGCAGAGGGACAACGUCAGGUGGGCAGUUCGGCUGGGGCGGCACUCCCGCGAAAAGAUAACACGGGAGCCCAAAGGUCGGCUCAGGCGGUACAGAACGCCGCCGUGGAGUGCAAGGGCAAAAGCCGGCUUGACGAGACCCUUCAAAGUACGGGGUCUCGGCGCGAAAGCGCGGCCUAGCGAACGCUCAUGCCCCCACACGUGGGGGCUGGGCAUGUCAGAAAAGUUACCCCGGGGAUAACAAGGUCGUCGCGGGCGAGAGCUCCCAUCGACCCCGCGGUUUGCUAUAUCGAUGUCGGCUCUUCCCACCCUGGGGGUGCAGUAGCCCCCAAGGGUAGGGCUGCCCGCCCGUUAAUGGGGAACGUGAGCUGGGUUUAGACCGUCGCGAGACAGGUCGGACUCUAAGGGUGGGGGGUGCCUACCACCUGAGGGGAAGGUACUCCUAGUACGAGAGGAACAGAGUACCGGGGCCUCUAGUCUACCGGUUGUCCGGUAGGGCAAAGCCGGGCAGCCACGCCCUGAGGGUUAACCGCUGAAA
rnacentral:rRNA from 1 species